UAUGCAAGACCGGGGGGUCAAGCCAAUCCCAUAAAACCUUUCUUAGUUAGGAUUGUAGGCUGCAACUAGCCUACAAGAAGCUGGAAUCGAUAGUAAUCGCGGAUCAGCAGCCGCAGUGAAUACGUUCCCGGGCUUUGUACACACCGCCCUGUCACACCAGGAGAUUUUGUAACCCCGGAAAGUUCGGGGUGGGGGG
rnacentral:rRNA from 1 species